GACGAACGCUGGCGGCGUGCUUAACACAUGCAAGUCGAACGGAAAGGCCCUGCUUUUGUGGGGUGCUCGAGUGGCGAACGGGUGAGUAACACGUGAGUAACCUGCCCUUGACUUUGGGAUAACUUCAGGAAACUGGGGCUAAUACCGGAUAGGAGCUCCUGCUGCAUGGUGGGGGUUGGAAAGCUUCGGCGGUUGGGGAUGGACUCGCGGCUUAUCAGCUUGUUGGUGGGGUAGUGGCUUACCAAGGCUUUGACGGGUAGCCGGCCUGAGAGGGUGACCAGCCACAUUGGGACUGAGAUACGGCCCGGACUCCUACGGGAGGCAGCAGUGGGGAAUAUUGCACAAUGGGCGGAAGCCUGAUGCAGCAACGCCGCGUGCGGGAUGACGGCCUUCGGGUUGUAAACCGCUUUCGCCUGUGACGAAGCGUGAGUGACGGUAAUGGGUAAAGAAGCACCGGCUAACUACGUGCCAGCAGCCGCGGUGAUACGUAGGGUGCGAGCGUUGUCCGGAUUUAUUGGGCGUAAAGGGCUCGUAGGUGGUUGAUCGCGUCGGAAGUGUAAUCUUGGGGCUUAACCCUGAGCGUGCUUUCGAUACGGGUUGACUUGAGGAAGGUAGGGGAGAAUGGAAUUCCUGGUGGAGCGGUGGAAUGCGCAGAUAUCAGGAGGAACACCAGUGGCGAAGGCGGUUCUCUGGGCCUUUCCUGACGCUGAGGAGCGAAAGCGUGGGGAGCGAACAGGCUUAGAUACCCUGGUAGUCCACGCUGUAAACGGUGGGUACUAGGUGUGGGGUCCAUUCCACGGGUUCCGUGCCGUAGCUAACGCUUUAAGUACCCCGCCUGGGGAGUACGGCCGCAAGGCUAAAACUCAAAGGAAUUGACGGGGCCCCGCGCAAGCGGCGGAGCAUGCGGAUUAAUUCGAUGCAACGCGUAGAACCUUACCUGGGUUUGACAUGGAUCGGGAGUGCUCAGAGAUGGGUGUGCCUCUUUUGGGGUCGGUUCACAGGUGGUGCAUGGCUGUCGUCAGCUCGUGUCGUGAGAUGUUGGGUUAAGUCCCGCAACGAGCGCAACCCUUGUUCACUGUUGCCAGCACGUUAUGGUGGGGACUCAGUGGAGACCGCCGGGGUCAACUCGGAGGAAGGUGGGGAUGACGUCAAGUCAUCAUGCCCCUUAUGUCCAGGGCUUCACGCAUGCUACAAUGGCUGGUACAGAGAGUGGCGAGCCUGUGAGGAUGAGCGAAUCUCGGAAAGCCGGUCUCAGUUCGGAUUGGGGUCUGCAACUCGACCUCAUGAAGUCGGAGUCGCUAGUAAUCGCAGAUCAGCAACGCUGCGGUGAAUACGUUCCCGGGGCU
rnacentral:rRNA from 1 species